rnacentral:rRNA from 1 species
GAUUAACGCUGGCGGUGUGUAUAAUACAUGCAAGUCGAACGAGGCUUCGGCCUAGUGGCGGACGAGUGAGUAACACGUUGGAACCUGCCCCGAACUCAGGGAUAAGCACUGGAAACGGUGUCUAAUACCGGAUAGUCCCGCAAGGGUAAAGAUUUUUCGGUUCGGGAGGGGCCUGCGGCCUAUCAGCUUGUUGGUGAGGUAAUAGCUCACCAAGGCUACGACGGGUAGAUGGUCUGAGAGGAUGAUCAUUCACGAUGGGACUGAGACACGGCCCAUACUCCUACGGGAGGCAGCAGUAGGGAAUCUUCCGCAAUGGACGAAAGUCUGACGGAGCAACACCGCGUGGUUGAUGAAGCCCCUUGGGGUGUAAGACCUUUUCUGAGGGAAGAAUUCUGACGGUACCUUAGGAUAAGCACCGGCUAAUUACGUGCCAGCCGCCGCGGUAA